UACGUAGGGUGCAAGCGUUGUCCGGAAUUAUUGGGCGUAAAGAGCUCGUAGGCGGUCUGUCGCGUCUGCUGUGAAACUCAGGGCUUAGCCCUGAGCUUGCAGUGGGUACGGGCAGACUAGAGUGCGGUAGGGGAGACUGGAAUUCCUGGUGUAGCGGUGAAAUGCGCAGAUAUCAGGAGGAACACCGGUGGCGAAGGCGGGUCUCUGGGCCGUAACUGACGCUGGAGG
rnacentral:rRNA from 1 species